AUUGGAUAAAAAAAUUGGGUUCACUGAGAAAAUUAGUGCUGGUACAUCGUUGGUGAGCGACAAAGUUCGGGAAGUAGACCAGAAGUUCCAGGUUUCCGAGAAGACUAAAUCAGCAUUUGCAGUUGCAGAAGAAAAAGUUAGCAAUGCUGGAUCUGCCAUUAUGAAAAACCGAUAUGUAAUGAGCGGGACCAGCUGGGUUGCUGAUGCUUUCAAUAAGGUAGCCAAGGCAGCUGGAGAAGUUGGUCAGAAAACAAAAGAGAAAGUCGUGGUGUCGGAAGAAGAACAGAAAAAGAAGACGGUCGAAGAUUUUGCUAAGAUUCAUCUUUCGGAAUCCCCAAAAGCAGCAUCGGCGCCUCCUGAGGAGCCUCAACAACGUCCCAAGCCCGAACCAGCUCAAGGUCUGAUCCUCUGAAUUGUUGUCAUGCUUGUUGAUAUCUAUGUCUGAAAGUUCUUGUAGCAGUAAUGUGUACUUCCUCUUCAUUUCUGGCAUGGUUAUAUCUUAGGGUGAAAAUAUAGAAUAGAUUUCUUCCUCAAUUAGUGGUCGG
rnacentral:misc_RNA from 1 species